rnacentral:rRNA from 1 species
CCUACGGGAGGCUGCAGUGGGGAAUAUUGGACAAUGGGCGAAAGCCUGAUCCAGCCAUGCCGCGUGUGUGAAGAAGGCCUUCGGGUUGUAAGGCACUUUCAGUGGGGAAGAAAGCCUUGGGGCUAAUACCCUCGAGGAAGGACAUCACCCACAGAAGAAGCACCGGCUAACUCCGUGCCAGCAGCCGCGGUAAUACGGAGGGUGCGAGCGUUAAUCGGAAUUACUGGGCGUAAAGCGCGCGUAGGCGGUCUGAUAAGCCGGUUGUGAAAGCCCCGGGCUCAACCUGGGAACGGCAUCCGGAACUGUCAGGCUAGAGUGCAGGAGAGGAAGGUAGAAUUCCCGGUGUAGCGGUGAAAUGCGUAGAGAUCGGGAGGAAUACCAGUGGCGAAGGCGGCCUUCUGGACUGACACUGACGCUGAGGUGCGAAAGCGUGGGUAGCAAACAGGAUUAGAUACCCUGGUAGUC